rnacentral:lncRNA from 1 species
UUUUUCUUUUUCUUAAGAUGGCAUCUUAUUCUGUCACCCAAGCUGGAGUGCACUGGCACGGUCACAACUCACUGCAGCCUCUAACUCCCAGGCUCAAGUGAUCCUUCCUCUUCAGCCACCAAGUAGCUGAAACUGCAGGCCCACCACCAUGUCCAGCUAAUUUUUUAAAAAAUUUUUUGUAAAGACAGGAUGUCACUCUGUUGCUCAGGCUGGUCUCAAGCUGCUGGGCUCAAGCCAUCCUCCUAUCUCAGCCUCCCAAAGUGCUGAGAUUACAGGCGCAAGCCACAGCACCCAGCAACGAGUGUUUGUUUGUUUGUUUGUUUGUCUCGCUCUGUUGACCAGGCUGGAGUGCAGUGGUGUGAUCUCAGCUCACUGCAACCUCUGCCUCCCAGGUUCAAGUGAUUCUCCUGCCUCAGCCUCCUGAGUAGCUGGGACUACAGGUGAGCGCCACCACACUCAGUUAAUUUUUGUAUUUUUAGUAGAGACGGGGUUUCACCGUGUUGGUCAGGCUGGUCUCGAACUUCUGACCUCGUGAAGCACCCACCUUGGCCUCCCAAAGUUGCUUGAGCCCAGGCGUUCGAGACCAGCCUGGGCAACAUAGUGAGACCUCAUUUCCAGCAAAAAAAAAAAAAAGUCAAAAAAUUAACUGAGGGUGGUGCUGGGCACCUGUGGUCCCAGCUAUUUGGGAGGCUGAGGUGGGAGGAUUGCUUGAGUUUGGGAAGUCAAGGCUGCAGUAAGCAGCGAUAGACCCACUGUACUCUACAAAAAGUAAAAUAAAAUAAAAAAUUAACCAGCCAUGGUGGUGGUGCUAUAUUCCCAAGAGCUGCUUGGGAGGCUGAGGUGGGAGGAUUACCUGAGUCCAGGAGUUUGAGACCAGCCUGGGCAACAUAGUAAGACUCCAUCUCUAUAAAAAAUAAAAAAUUAGCCAGGUGCAGUGUUGUGUGCCUGUAGUCCCAACUGCUUGGGAGGCUGAGGUGGGAGGAUUGCUUGAGUCCAGGAGGUCAAGGCUGCAGUGAGUUGAGGUCACAUCACUGCAAUCCAGCCUGGGUGACAGAGCAAGUCCCUGUCCCCAAAAUAAUAAUAAUAAAUAACAUUUAAAAAUUUAAAAAUAGGAACAGGAGACCCCUCUUUCACACAUGAGUCUUUUAGGCUCUGAUGCUCCUCAGCUACUAGAACGAUGAUACCCACAUGUUAACAGUGCUUCCAAUUCCUGUUGAAGGCUUAGCUUGCAGCGUGCUAACCUAGGGUAUUCAUCACCCUUCACUGUGCCGGUGAACUGGGUGCUCUAUGCUCCCCACUUACAGAAGAGAAAACUGAGGCACGAAGCAGAUAGGCCCCUAGCUAGAGAUGGCAGAGCGAGGUGCUUGACACUCAUCUGAAGCCGAAGCCAGUGCUCCUACCCUCUGCCCAGUCCUGCCUCUUCUCAGAGAGCUGAGAACCCAGCCAGGCUAUUCCUGCUGCCAGUUCUCCUUUAUGGAGACACAGGCUGUGGGAGGUACUGCCUGAGACAAACCAGAGGGUUUCACUAUGGAGAACAGGGAGCCUGGGAAAGGACUCUGGGCUGUGGGAACAGCCCCAGCCGGCGGCUCUGGAUGCAAUGCCCAUGCCAGCCGAGGAGAACGUCCAGGCAUUUCUGUCCCCAAGUGAAUGGGCCUGGGAGCAGCCAGGUCCCAGGAGCCAGAAAGGCGGGAAGCAGCUGCCAGCGCGCCGGCACCAGCACCCUGCCUUGCGCGCUCGGGCUAGCUUGGUUGGCUGCCUGUCAAGGCUUCAAAGGAGUGUGCAAAGCAGGCUGGGGGACCUGGCUGGACUGGUUUCCCUGAAACUGAGGUGGCUGAACAAAAGGAGGCCGUGUGGGCUGAUUUGGCGGGAUCCCGUGGCGGGACGGAGGGCAGGAAGCAGGAGACAGCAGUGGGAGGGCUGGGCAGAGACACAAGGUGCACUUGGCACUGGGCAGCCCACGCCUGCAGGAGGGGACUGAACACUAACCGGGGGCCUCAGGUAGGGCCCACAGACAACGGAAACAGGCUCAGGGAAGGCUGUGCCUUGGCAGGGGAUGGCCAGCAAAGUGCAAACUCUUGUCCUGGUUAAACUCCAAGGGAUUAGGUGCAGCAUCUGUGCAUUCUGGGAAAUUCAUUCAGUCAUUUCUCCAUUCAUCCAACAGUGGCUGAACACUCACCAUGAGCCAGCACUCAGUAGUGCUGAGAACCUAGCUGGGGGCCGGAACACCAGGGCCCCUACCUUGCCCACCUUGCAUGGUGCCAACAGCCCAGGGAGGUGAGAACCCAGGGUCUGUCCAGGAUGAAGAGAGGGCAGAGACUUGUCACGUGGCACAGAGCACAGACACAAUGCCUGGGCUCCCUGGUGAUUCCAUCACUGACUCUGGGACUCAAAGCCUAUGACUUCAUCCCCUGAGCCUCAGUGCCCAUCAUAU